AUGCACACGUGUGCAGCCUGGGAGACCAGAACUUUGGGGUCGCCGGUUCUCUUGCGCGCUCCCUGGUGGCCUCGGGGAGCAGUGCGGACAGAACGAGAGGCGGGGCCUGCGGCGGCGGAAGUGAAGUCACUUCCGGGCUGGGGUGUUUGUUUGGACUGGAGAAGGGAGGCGGCGGGCGAAGCGCGCGUCGAGCGGGGGAGCGGCGCUGCCUGUGGAGAUCCGCGGAGGCCGACCGGAUUCGUUGGCUGCCGUCCCCGCUGCCGUGCACUGGAGAAAAGCUUUUUUUCUGCCACAGAGACUAACACAUAUAAAUUUGAGCUCAUUGACUGGUGGAAUUUUGAAGUUGCUUCUUUUGGGCUGCCUCUUAAUGAAGCGAUAAGACCCAGCAAGAAACCAUUUACUGUAUUUUUUAAAAUUGUUUUCCUAGAGGUUACACUGGGGAUUACAACUAACAUCUUUGUAGCAAGAAUGGACUCAUACAAAUUUAGUUUUAUAGAGAGAGAAAAAGAAGAGUUAAAAGCCAAAAAAAUACAGUAUUAGUGACUUUUGUAUUUACCUAUGUAAUUAUUGUUGAUUUCUUCAUAUGGAUUCAAGUUAAUCCAAAAAAAAAAAAAACCCACCUGAUUUAGUCUUUGUCUAACAAGCCUAAUGUCUAGGCCUCCUCAGUAAUAGUUACAAUUAAUUUAUUUUUUUCCUGUUAAUAGGCCAUACUUUCUUAUUUCUUCGCAUGCCUCAUAAUUUUUGUUGAAAACUGAAUGUCGUGAGUGCUGUGAAAUCACAUUCUCCCCUCUCUUCAAGGUGGUUGUUCUGCUUGUUGUUUGUUUGGUGACCUUUCUGAAUUAAUUGGGUAAAAGUUUGUAUUAUUUUUUGUAUGGCCACUGACGUCUCUGUUCCGUUAGCUUAGUUGUCAGCUAGUUAUUUACAAGAGAUUUCAUUAAAUACCCAUAAGCAAAAAGUAAAACUCUCCUGGUCUUUUUUUUUUUUUUUUUUUUUUUUGGUCUUUUUGCCAUUUCUUGGGCUGCUUCCACGGCAUAUGUAGAUUCCCAGGCUAGGGGUCGAAUCGGAGCUGUAGCCGCCAGCCUACACCAGAGCCACAGCAACACGGGAUCCGAGCCACGUCUGCGACCUACACCACACACAGCUCAUGGCACCUCCGGAUCCUUAACCCACUGAGCGAGGCCAGGGAUCGAACCCUCAAUCUCAUGGUUCCUAGUUGGAUUCGUUAGCCACUGAGCCACAACGGGAACUCCGUAAACUCUCCUGGUCUUUGCAGAUGGGUUUUUUGGUAGCUGAGCACACCUUUAACACCCAGGCAGUUUGCAUCUCUUUCUUAAGCCUUUUUUUAUGUGCAAAACCUGAAGUCUGAUGGGUAUAAGGCCUUCGUAGGUCUCUUCUGAGUGGGCCCCCAGCACUGGGCAUGCCCGUGGCCUUUUUGGUUUCCCAGAGCAUGCAGGAGCUUCUCAAAGCUUUGUUCGAAACCAUCUCCUUGGCCAGCCUUUCCUCCCAGGCUUUUUGCUUUGUCUCUUGUUUGCCCCAGUUAUUGUUCUUUGCUGGCACUCGCUCCUACAUUUGCCUUUACUGCUUUUGACAGAUGCCAAACACUUUUAAUCUUGUAUUUGAACUACAUGUGCUCAGUUUCUUAAAAGAGCAAAACACAAAGGACACACUAUAAAGAGUGUUCUUGAGAAGGACCAGGAAAGGUCAUGGAAGAAAAUUAAGUCGGAUACAAUACCUUACUUAUAUUAGAACACCUUGCACUCAGUAAAUGUAGGUCUGUCACCAUUCUGAAAGUAAACGAUCCUUACCCUCUGGCUUGUCUCUUGGCUGGCUGUAGCAGAACUCUGGUCAGCAGUUGUUCUUUCUUCAGCUAUCUAAAUUAUGAAGAUUGGCGCCCAGGUACCAGUUGAUUUCUGUUAUGGUUUGUUUCCCAAAUACUGCUUGACAGUGAAAUUUCAUUUACUGUCCCUCGUAGACUCUUGCACUGGGAUCUAUACCAAAGCCACAGGUUGUUUGACGAGGUGAUAAUGGGCAAAAAGCUGAUCAAAGCCUUGUCAAAUGCAGGGGUUGGGCCCUUUUUGCUAAGCAGUGUUUAUAUUUUGUUACUAAUUAGCAUCAAACAAGGAAGGAGAGUGAGUCCCUGGGGAUUUCCAGACUAUAGAAUUUGCUGGUGUUGAUUUUUCAUUGUUUACAUAAGGUUAUGAUCAUGAAAUGUGUGGAAAACACUUCUUUCUUUUAAAGAAGUUGCAUUUAGGCUUUCCUGCUGUGGCACAGCAGGUUAAGUAUCCUGUGUUGUCCCAGCAGUGGCUUGCGUUCAAUCCCUGGCCCAGGAACUUCCAUGUGCCAUCAGUGUGGCCAUAAAAUUUAAAAAUAAAAAAAAAAAGGGAAAAGAAUAAGUAAUUUUC
rnacentral:lncRNA from 1 species